CUGGUCAUCUAUCUGGUUGUGAAAUGUUGAUAUUCAGUACUCAUAUCACAGCCACUUUGAUGAGCUAGU
rfam:Zootermopsis nevadensis contig34106, whole genome shotgun sequence.